ACGCUCGACACCUACGGGAGGCAGCAGUUGGGAAUAUUGGACAAUGGAGGAAACUCUGAUCCAGUGACGCCGCGUGAAGGAAGAAGGUCUUCGGAUUGUAAACUUAUUUUGUCAGGGAAGAAAAAUGACUGUACCUGAAGAAAAAGCACCGGCUAACUACGUGUCAGCAGCCGCAGUAAUCUGAGCGGGCUGGCAAGGC
rnacentral:rRNA from 1 species